UGCAGUGAGCACAGGGUUUUCUCUCUCUGUCAUCAUCUCCCCUGAGAGGUCUGCUUUUUUAUUUUCUAAGCCAUAAAAAGAAGCGGUGGGAGAGCUGAAUUUGGAGGCCACGUCAUGUCUGCAGAGAAGAAACCAAAAAAGAAGAAAGAAGAGGCCAAUGGUACAACAGAAGCCAAGCUGAAUGGAAUUGAGACCAAGCCCAAAAAAGCUAAGACAAAGAAGAAUGAAGAUGUAGCCAAAGAGGACAGUUCUGCCAUUCAGAAUGGGAAGAAAGUGAAGAAAAAGAAGCUAGAAAA